AAUUAAAAUUUUUAAAAUAAAUUUUUAGGUAUAUUACAACAGGAUAUUUGGUAUUGCUAACUUAACAGAUUUACAAUAUUCUACAAGUAAAGAGGAGAUACUAGAAUUAUGGGCUCUAAUAACUGCAUGGGGUAAAUGGGCUGUAUUGGAGCUUAUGGUUUCUAUAAAAGAUCCACUUCAAGAUCUGAAUACAGAAAUAAAUCAGCAUAUCUCAAGUUUCCGUGUACAAGUUGAUGAUUUAUUACAAGAAAUUGCAAAUAUUAUGUUGGAAAUUCUUUCAAAUACAGACAAUGAAGAUAUCGGUGAAUAUUUAUCAAAGUAUUUAAACGGAAUCGAAAACACAGAUGAUAUAGCAUACAGUUUAUGCCAAGUAUAGUCCUGCUUAUGCAAAUGUACAGUGUAUAUUCAGUAUUAAAGACCUGAGCGUACA